GACGAACGCUGGCGGCGUGCUUAACACAUGCAAGUCGAACGGAAAGGCCCUUCUUUUGUGGGGUGCUCGAGUGGCGAACGGGUGAGUAACACGUGAGUAACCUGCCCUUGACUUUGGGAUAACUUCAGGAAACUGGGGCUAAUACCGGAUAGGAGCUCCUGCUGCAUGGUGGGGGUUGGAAAGUUUCGGCGGUUGGGGAUGGACUCGCGGCUUAUCAGAUUGUUGGUGGGGUAGUGGCUUACCAAGGCUUUGACGGGUAGCCGGCCUGAGAGGGUGACCGGCAAAAUUGGGACUGAGAUACGGCCCAGACUCCUAAGGGAGGCAGCAGUGGGGAAUAUUGCACAAUGGGCGGAAGCCUGAUGCAGCAACGCCGCGUGCGGGAUGACGGACUUCGGGUUGUAAACCGCUUUCGCCUGUGACGAAGCGUGAGUGACGGUAAUGGGUAAAGAAGCACCGGCUAACUACGUG
rnacentral:rRNA from 1 species